AAAAAAAAAAUUAACCGGGCGUGGUGGCAGGUGGCUGUAGUCCCAGCUACUCGGAGGCUGAGGCCGGGGAAUGGCGUGAACCCGGGAGGCUGAGCUUGCAGUGAGCCGAGAUCGCGCCACUGCACUCCAGCCUGGGCAACAGGGCGAGACUCCGUCUCAAAAAAAAAAAAAAGAAAUAUUAUCUGAAGAAAAUGUUAUCAAUGACAACUCCUAGACACUAAUUGUGGUACAUUGCAUUUCAUUUCAUUUCCAGUCACACUAUGAGCAUCUACUAUGAGCUAGCGCAGCUUAACUUGGACUCACCCCCUAUCAAGUGCUCGACGGCCACGUGUGCAGUGGUUCCUACGUGGAGCAGCAUACAUCCAGAGAUGCAAAUAUUAAUGAGGACAGUGCUAGUAACAGAGUUGCUGAGCGAUCUAUGUCCCCUUGUAAGAACCAGCGCCCCAGGGGAAGAAACAGAACUCCACAAGGUAGCAGUGUGGGUGUAGUACCCGCAUGUGCCCAUGUUAUGGGAAUGUAGAUGGGGAGUGACCACCGCCAACAGAAGUGUGGCCAUCUUGCCCGAGAUGCAUGAGGACCUCCUGUUUUUAGAUGCUGCUGCCCAAGGCCCGUAUUUCAUGCUAUGGCUUUUGUCAUUUGAAUUAUCAGUAGCUGUCUCGGAGCUAAUACACUUCACUGGGCCCUGGAGGAUAUUGUCUUAUACAGUCCACCAGGUUUUGGAUAUGCAGUCUGUGCCUUUCAUUGCCUUUCUGGAAAAUAAUAACUAAACUCUUCC
rnacentral:lncRNA from 1 species